rnacentral:rRNA from 1 species
UACGAAGGGGGCUAGCGUUGCUCGGAAUUACUGGGCGUAAAGGGCGCGUAGGCGGCAAGGCAAGUCAGGUGUGAAAGCCCCGGGCUCAACUCGGGAACUGCAUCUGAAACUGCUGUGCUUGAGUCCUGGAGGGGGUAGUGGAAUUCCCAGUGUAGCGGUGAAAUGCGUAGAUAUUGGGAGGAACACCGGUGGCGAAGGCGGCUACCUGGACAGUGACUGACGCUGAGGCGCGAAAGCUGAGGGGAGCGAACGGG